rnacentral:lncRNA from 1 species
AAUCCGGCCAUGGCUCUGGCGCCAGACCACUGUGGCGGCCGCCGGUGACGGUGCCGCCGUCCGCGGUGGUCGGAAAACUGAAAAAGGCCAUUUUUUGGGCCUUUCAACUCCCUUGGCCUAAAUACGUCGUUUUUCAUCAGAAACAAAGAACCUCACCCACGACGGUGCAAAACGCGAAUAAAAAGGUAUGUUUUUUUUAUUUCUCUUCCUCUUUUUGUUUGAAAGAUAAAAUCAAACGAAAGUAAAAAUGAAAAUAAGAAAAAUAAGAAACUACCUCUGCAAAAUAGUUCACUGUUUCUUUAAUGAUUCUUUUUGUAUUCGUAUUCUGUAAAAAAAGUUUUUUUUACAACACUGUUUUUAGGGCUUUUAUAGCCUAAAAAUUAUGCUUUUUUUUCUCUUUUUCUUUUGGUUGUCGUUUUCUCUAUCUUUACUGUUUGUCCUUGCAGGUAAAGAGGCCGUAGGGAGGUUGAUGUGGCUAAUGUGCGACGGCAAUAGCUGAGAGGGGUUAGGGGCUAGGGUUUGUUCUGUUUUUAGGUGUUGGGCUUGUAAUUUAUGGGCUAGGGUUUUUGAUUUGGGCUUGUAUUUGGGUUUAAUGGAAUUAAUGUAAUUUGGUCUUGUAAAUGGACUUUUGAUGUUUAGGUUUUUUUUUUAUGGCCAGGGCAAAUUGGGCCUGCUACACAUGGGUUAGGAUAUCCAUCUAGAUCCAAAGAUCCGUCUAAAAUUUA